rnacentral:rRNA from 1 species
GACAAACGCUGGCGGCGUGCUUAACACAUGCAAGUCGAACGGUAAGGCCCUUCGGGGUACACGAGUGGCGAACGGGUGAGUAACACGUGGGUGAUCUGCCCUGCACUUCGGGAUAAGCCUGGGAAACUGAGUCUAAUACCGGAUAGGACCACUGCCUGCAUGGGUGGUGGUGGAAAGCUUUUGCGGUGUGGGAUGGGCCCGCGGCCUAUCAGCUUGUUGGUGGGGUGAUGGCCUACCAAGGCGACGACGGGUAGCCGGCCUGAGAGGGUGACCGGCCACACUGGGACUGAGAUACGGCCCAGACUCCUACGGGAGGCAGCAGUGGGGAAUAUUGCACAAUGGGCGCAAGCCUGAUGCAGCGACGCCGCGUGAGGGAUGACGGCCUUCGGGUUGUAAACCUCUUUCAGCACCGACGAAGCGCAAGUGACGGUAGGUGCAGAAGAAGGACCGGCCAACUACGUGCCAGCCGCCGCAGUAA